UCUAGCCUAUCAAGCGUCUGUGUGUUUGUGACGAUUAAAUCUCCAGUGUCACACAAUGUUCUAGGACAGUGCGUCAAAUAAAAGACAUGUAUGCGCAGUUGAAAUGUCGAGCCAAAAAAAAAAGAGUCUGACAGAAAAGAAACUGGAGGGGGGCCUCCAGCUGUAUUAACCACCGUGGAAGACCUGGUCAUAGAUGGCAUCCGCGACAAGCCACAGCUGAUUGGCAUUCCGGGUGGCAUUGAUUCAGGUGUGGCUGAUGUUGCUGAGAUGGCAGACACUGAUGAAGCCUCAGCCAAGUGUACACUAACUGUUGCUGAGUGUACAUCAAAGCCUGUGACUGCCUCAAAUGUAGCCACUUCUUCAACAUCAAGACCAUCAAAAGAAUCGUUGAAAAAGAGAAAGAGAAACAGAUGAUAUGAAGAAGAGCUACUUGAGCUGGAAACAAGACGAGCACAGGCUGAGUUGGACCUGCUGUUGCAGAGGCAACAGCAGGAAAAACAGCUACAUGAUCUUAGAAUUAAGGUGAUCACAGAGGCUGCAGAGCAAGAGAGACAACUUUUUACUUUAAAAAAAGAGUUGUUAAACUCAAAUAUAAAGUCUGCAAUGGAUCAAGGCCUUCUUUUGUUUGAAUCUUAAACUUAACAUGUUUCU